rnacentral:rRNA from 1 species
AUUGAACGCUGGCGGCAGGCCUAACACAUGCAAGUCGAGCGGAUGAGUGGAGCUUGCUCCAUGAUUCAGCGGCGGACGGGUGAGUAAUGCCUAGGAAUCUGCCUGGUAGUGGGGGACAACGUUUCGAAAGGAACGCUAAUACCGCAUACGUCCUACGGGAGAAAGUGGGGGAUCUUCGGACCUCACGCUAUCAGAUGAGCCUAGGUCGGAUUAGCUAGUUGGUGAGGUAAAGGCUCACCAAGGCGACGAUCCGUAACUGGUCUGAGAGGAUGAUCAGUCACACCGGAACGGAGACACGGGCCAGACUCCUACGGGAGGCAGCAGUGGGGAAUAUUGGACAAUGGGCGAAAGCCUGAUCCAGCCAUGCCGCGUGUGUGAAGAAGGUCUUCGGAUUGUAAAGCACUUUAAGUUGGGAGGAAGGGCAGUAAGUUAAUACCUUGCUGUUUUGACGUUACCAACAGAAUAAGCACCGGCUAACUUCGUGCCAGCCGCCGCCGUAAGAC